GCUCGGGUGGUGAAAUUGGUAGACACGCAAGGUUGAGGGCCUUGUGGCCGUUAAGGCCAUAUGAGUUCGAGUCUCAUCCCGAGCACCA
rnacentral:tRNA from 1 species